AUCGAUACACCACGUUAAUUUCUAUUAAAUCUAUAAUUUAUAUAUCACCAUCUUAAGAAUUAAUUCAUAAAUAUUCUCCUAAUAAAUAAUAAAAAGUUAGGUCAAGGUAUAAUCCAUAUUUAAGAAUGAGAUGAAUUACACUAAAUAUUAAUUAAAGAUUAUAAAUAAAAUAUUUACAUAAAUAAGAAUUUAAAAGAAAUAUUAAAACAAUAAUUCAAUAUGAUAAAGAUCAUCAAUGUGCACACAUCGCCC
rnacentral:rRNA from 1 species